GAUGAACGCUGGCGGCGUGCUUAACACAUGCAAGUCGAACGAAGCACUUUAUUUGAUUUCCUUCGGGACUGAUUAUUUUGUGACUGAGUGGCGGACGGGUGAGUAACGCGUGGGUAACCUGCCUUGUACAGGGGGAUAACAGUUGGAAACGGCUGCUAAUACCGCAUAAGCGCACAGCAUCGCAUGAUGCAGUGUGAAAAACUCCGGUGGUAUAAGAUGGACCCGCGUUGGAUUAGCUAGUUGGUGAGGUAACGGCCCACCAAGGCGACGAUCCAUAGCCGACCUGAGAGGGUGACCGGCCACAUUGGGACUGAGACACGGCCCAAACUCCUACGGGAGGCAGCAGUGGGGAAUAUUGCACAAUGGGCGAAAGCCUGAUGCAGCGACGCCGCGUGAGCGAAGAAGUAUUGCGGUAUGUAAAGCUCUAUCAGCAGGGAAGAUAAUGACGGUACCUGACUAAGAAGCACCGGCUAAAUACGUG
rnacentral:rRNA from 1 species